CCUACGGGAGGCAGCAGUGAGGAAUAUUGGUCAAUGGCCGGAAGGCUGAACCAGCCAUGCCGCGUGAAGGUCAGUGCCCUAUGGGCGUUAAACUUCUUUUGUGCGGGAGCAAUAAUGGUCACGUGUGGCCAGACGAGAGUACCGUACGAAUAAGCAUCGGCUAACUCCGUGCCAGCAGCCGCGGUAAUACGGGGGAUGCAAGCGUUAUCCGGCUUUCUUGGGUUUAAAGGGUGCGUAGGCUGUGAGGUAAGUCAGCGGUGAAAUGCUCCCGCGCAACGGGGUGAAGUGCCAUUGAUACUGGCUUGCUGGAAGGCGGAUGCCGUGGGAGGAAUGUGUGGUGUAGCGGUGAAAUGCAUAGAUAUCACACAGAACACCGAUUGCGAAGGCAUCUCACGAAUCCGCGAUUGACGCUGAGGCACGAAAGCGUGGGUAUCAAACAGGAUUAGAUACCCUUGUAGUC
rnacentral:rRNA from 1 species